rnacentral:lncRNA from 1 species
UACGUUAUGCCAUCGAGAAUCAAGGUUUUUGAGUUAUACGGCAACUUUCGACUACUAAUCCGAGAUUUCUACGUUUUCAACGUUUAACGCCUAAUCUUAGAAAUUUCGCCAUAACUUCGUUACUCGUGUUCUAUACAUCAAAUCAAAUGAAAAAACUCUAUUGAUUCAUUAUCUACAUCCUAAACAAUCAACAUGCACAUAACCUAUGAUAG